CCGGCCUGCUCCCCCGCGUGAUUUCAGCGUGACGAGCACUCCACGCGCCCGGCGCGUCGCGCAACGGCCCCUAACCGCCUCUCUUCUUCCUCCCUCGGAAGAGAGAGAAAGAGAAGACACAGAAGAGAGAGAAAGUGACAGUAGAGAGAGAAAUUACAGAAGAGAGAGAAACAGAGACAGAGAAGAGAGAGAGAGGGAGAAGUGACAGGAGAGAGGGAGAGAUCGUCACUCCCAUCGCAGCGAAGACCGAAGCGAAACUCUCUCUCUUUCUCUCUCUCUCUCUCAUCUCUCUUUCUCUCUCUUGCCGUGGCUUCGUCGGGAACCGAUUCCUGCGGAUAGUCGCGGCUCGAAUCGAGCCGUGCAGGCAUGGACGACGAGCCUCUCCUCCAGGGCCUCGUCCGGCCGCCGCCGCUGUUCACCCUCCCCGAGGACGACGAGAUCGCCGUCCCUCCCCCUGCUCUCACCCCGUCCGAGCUCAAGGACCGCCUCAUCUUCGGCCCCUCCCCGCCCCCGCGCGACGCGUCCCCGAUCGCCGACACCCUCAUUUCCCCGCUCCACCCCGCCCUGCCCUCCUCCUCCUCUCCCCUGGAGGAGCCGCCGCCGCUGCCGCAGCAGCAGCCCUGGCUAAUCGACCCUAACUUCUUCUGGAGCAAGAGCAACCUGCACCGCUCCAAGACCGCCCCCGCCAUGGCCGUGAUCAACGACCUCAACAGGCAGAGCGCGCCGCCCAAGCUGCAGUUCGCCUCGCCGUCGAUCAUACGGCAGGCCGUCGUGCUUCUGGUAUUGUACCUGUCGCUCGGCGUGGUGAUUUAUUGGUUCAACAGGGAUAAUUUCUCUGCGACCGAGACUCAUCCGGUUGUGGACGCGUUGUAUUUUUGCAUUGUGACGAUGUGCACGAUCGGUUAUGGGGAUAUCACGCCGAACAGUGUGGCUACGAAGCUUUUCUCUAUUAUGUUUGUGCUGGUGGGAUUUGGUUUUGUGGAUAUUUUGCUCAGCGGGAUGGUCAGUUACGUGCUCGAUUUGCAAGAGAACUACAUGUUGAGGUCAGUGAAGGGUGAUGGAGAGAAGAAGGAUUUAGCGGGGACAUAUAUUUUCGAUUUGAAGAAGGGGAGGAUGAGGAUAAGAAUGAAGGUGGCAUUGGCACUGGUUGUGGUUGUUAUCUGUAUUGGGAUUGGUGCUGGGGUUAUGCAUUUUGUUGAGGACCUUGAUUGGUUGGAUUCGUUUUACCUUUCUGUGAUGUCAGUGACCACUGUCGGCUACGGUGAUAGGGCGUUUAAGUCGUUGCCUGGUCGUAUUUUUGCUUCAAUUUGGUUGCUGGUAUCCACUCUUGCCGUUGCUCGAGCAUUUCUGUUUCUGGCUGAAGCAAGAGUGGAUAAGCGCCAGAGAAGGAUGGCCAAGUGGGUUCUAGGUCAGGACAUGACCAUUGCCGAGUUUCUUGCAGCUGAUAUUGACAACAAUGGAUUUGUAAGUAAAUCUGAGUAUGUCAUCUACAAGUUAAAAGAGAUGAGAAAAGUUUCAGAGAAAGACAUAAUGCAGAUCUGCAAUAAGUUUGAUCGGUUAGACAACGGCAAAUGUGGGAAGAUUACUCUUGCUGAUCUCAUGGAAAGUCGUAACUAAUCAAGAUAAGCUCUUCUCUUUGCAAAAUGCACCGAGAAGUGAAGAGAAAAUUGCAAGAUAAUGCUCGUCUUAAAGAAGGGCCUUUCUGGAAAUAGGAUCAGUUCUUGUGUAAUAUCUUCAAGGAAAUUAAGGUAUGUCUGACUUUUUGCCGUUAGCUGCUUUUGUUAUAUUAAGAAGUGUUUUUGGAAGCAUUUCCAAGUGAAGUGGUAAUAUAUCUUCAAAAAGACAAUCUCUCGAGCAACUCCAUAAAGGAAAUUUUUCGAUUUAAAAAGAGAAAACGAAGGAGAAAACAUACUCAAAUCAGAUUUACAUGGGGAAGUGUGUAUCUCUUAUUUGCAUUACAUACGUACAUGUACAUGAUCCACUGGGGUGUCAAGGGGUCAGGUCAGGCAUAAUUUUCAUGAUACCCGACCCGAUCCGAAACCCUACAAGGGCGUGAUUGACCCAAUCCGAUCUGUUCGAAACCCUAAAUUUUAAAGUCAGGUCGGGUCCAAUCGGCUCAAGCCAGCAGGAGCAUUUUUGACAGCUUUAUGAUCCAGAGGUUAUUUCAUUUUUGCAACUCUGCGUUUGAACAACUUACCACAAAAAGCUUUAAGAGGAUAUCUCCUUGUCCUUUUAUGAUUAGACGGCUUCUUGUGUGAUGAAUGGGAGGAAUGGAUGAUCACCCACAGGAUGAUUCGUCGCUUCGGAGAUUGAGGAAGUAGGAGAAAAAAAAUUGAAUUAUUGCACCCUUACUUCCAGGACUUUCCUUAACUUUUGCAAUGAUUUGACUUGUAAAUGUAAUCUUCUUUGUUCUUUUCUCCAUAUCCUUUUUCUUCCUUUCUUUUCC